ensembl:lncRNA
AGUUUCCCAGGCCCCAGUUGAGGUCUUCUACUUAGUAUGCUUUCUUACGUGGUGGCCUGAACCGCGAAGGUGUUUUGCUUUCACGAGAAACGCCAGGGGGUGGAGGAGUGUGUAGUGGUAUUUCCGGUGGGGUGAACACGUCUGCGCUUCGCGGUUGCCAUAGAAACCUGACGUCAAUAUGGCGACCGUGACGACAUUUCUAUAGAGACACAUGUAGCCUGGAGAAAAGAGCAGGUCUCGUCCUUAGGUGUUUGGGACUCAGCUGAGGGUGUGGGUCCCCGCGGUGGGGGCUGAGCCUCCUCGGGGUGUAGGGAGACAAAGGGACCCAGAUCCAAGUCGCCUCUUUCCUGCUUUAGGAUUCGGUGCCUUGGCUGUCUGCUAGUCCAUGUGCCGUCUUAUCCCCCGAUUCUCCUUCUAGUGGACCGUCAGAGAAGGGUGUGGACUCUGAGCCUCAGAAACAGGAGCUGAUACAGAAGAACCAAGUGUGAUAUUGAAUCUGCUAGACAGGUUCCUGGAGCAAGAGUGAAGAGAUCACGGUCCCAUCAAUGGGACACUUUAGGGUCCAGGCCUGCUUACUGGUAGAGAAGAUCUUAUAUGAAGCAGAAACUCCACGUCACCUCAGAUGAAUCCCGCAGAGGACUAAAUGGGAGGUACCACCCUCCUAGGGAUAAGACAGACACAAAACCAAUUCCAAAAUCUACCAUGAGACCUAACCAAGGAUUAAAGAGAAAGUAAAACCCUAGUUCAUGCCUGUGAGAAGAACCAAGACUGAAAUCACACAAGGGUUACUGCAUCCUUCACUCUCUAUCCGGGAGUGAGAUCCUGUCAGAAGGUAGUAGCCCAUUAGCACUAUGCAAAAGUAUAGAAGUUUGGGUUAUAAGAUGCCUCAGUUUCCCGAGGUGGAAGACUUUCCCCACUCAACCCCAUCAUUUCCCGUUUAGAUACUGGGUUUCCAGGACUCAAGAUGAAGGUUGGUCUGUACUUACUUGGAAUGGAGUCUCUUUCGGGUGGGUGCUGACAUCUGUCUCGCUCCCUGUGGACAUUUCUACUUAUGCCGUUCUAGAAAUCAAGAGAGGGAAGAUGUGGGAUGCAGAUGUAGAAUUAGAUGGACAGUGCCUGGCACACAGUAAACACUCAAUACACGUUAAUAAAUAAAGGAGAUGUAGAGGCAGGAAUAAGCAGGAAAUAAAACUAAGUAUAUGUCCUCUCAGUCUGUUAUAUACAUAUGAAUCUUUCAAAGAGUGUUGGGAUUACACUGUACUUAUUAUUUAGUUACCUACUUUUAAGAGAAUACGUUGUUUUUAGUUCUAAAAAUUAUACUUUUUCUUGGGGAAAAAAUAACCUGUAGAAAAUGGAGAAAGAUGCCACCUGGUCAUCUGCAUCAGAAUCCCAGGUGUGAAAGUCAACUAGGGGGAUUGGCAAAGGGUGAGGUAAUAGCGGGGAGUGAGGGAUGUGCGUGAAUUCCAUUGUAUGGGCCAAAGCUUUCUGGAAUUUUCCACACACUGGUGGUGAUCCUUCUGUAUUUGUGCCCAUCCUGGUAUUUUCAAGCCCUGAGGCUAGAAGUCCAGCCCCAUGUGAACUAAAUAGAAAGCUGCACAAGUUAGUAUAUGAAUAAUUGGUAUAAAGAAGUUUGAGACAUGGAAACAUGCACACACAGAAGCAGUGUCAAAUAACUUGUUUUGAUCUGCUGCUUUUACUUUUAUAAAACAGUAAACUGUGAACAUUUUUCCAAAGCAAUGAAUAUAUAAGCAUCAUAUUUGUAAUCAACUCAUAAUUAUUUUAUGUUUUCAACAUUUUAUACAAUAAACGUUCUAUAUUUAAAACACUAUGGAAAUGCAGAUUUGUAAAAUGAGGGGCUGGCCGAGUGGUUGAGUUUGUAUGCUCCACUUCCGUGGCCCAGGGUUUCGCCGGUUCGGGUCCUGGGCGCUGACAUGGCACCACUCAUCAGGCCACGCUGAGGCGGUGUCGCACAUAGCACAACUAGAAGGACCUACAACUAGAAUAUACAACUAUGUACUGGGGGGCUUUGGGGAGAAGAAAAAAAAAAAGAUUGGCAAUAGAUGUUAGCUCAGGGUCAAUCUUAAAAAAAAUUGUAAAAUGAAAGUAAUCCUCUAUCUCCCACCAACCCAUACACAUUGAAUUAGUAUCAAAGAAAUCUUUUUAAUGUGUUAUUUUCACACCAAAGUAUUUGAUCAUGUUUUUAAAUCAAUAAAUGUAUUUCUGCACUAUCAUAUGGUGACUUGGUUUGUAGGUUUUCCUAUUUUAAAAAAUAUCUCAAUAACUUUUUCAGAUUACCAGUUGAUACUUUUUGUUUUUUUUAACAAGUAUCAAACUUUAUGGAAAUGUAUAUUAAAAACCUGAAAUUAUUUGUCUCUCCCUUCUGCCUCCACCUUCUGCCCAUCAUAAACAGAGAUUAUCUCUGUUAACUUAU